GAUGAACGCUGGCGGCGUGCUUAACACAUGCAAGUCGAACGAAGCACUUUUAUUUGAUUUCUUCGGAAUGAAGAUUUUAGUGACUGAGUGGCGGACGGGUGAGUAACGCGUGGGUAACCUGCCUCAUACAGGGGGAUAACAGUUAGAAAUGACUGCUAAUACCGCAUAAGACCACAGCACCGCAUGGUGCAGGGGUAAAAACUCCGGUGGUGUGAGAUGGACCCGCGUCUGAUUAGGUAGUUGGUGGGGUAACGGCCUACCAAGCCGACGAUCAGUAGCCGACCGGAGAGGGUGACCGGCCACAUUGGGACUGAGACACGGCCCAAACUCCUACGGGAGGCAGCAGUGGGGAAUAUUGCACAAUGGGGGAAACCCUGAUGCAGCGACGCCGCGUGAGCGAUGAAGUAUUUCGGUAUGUAAAGCUCUAUCAGCAGGGAAGAAAAUGACGGUACCUGACUAAGAAGCACCGGCUAAAUACGUGCCAGCAGCCGCGGUAAUACGUAUGGUGCAAGCGUUAUCCGGAUUUACUGGGUGUAAAGGGAGCGUAGACGGAGUGGCAAGUCUGAUGUGAAAACCCGGGGCUCAACCCCGGGACUGCAUUGGAAACUGUCAAUCUGGAGUGCCGGAGAGGUAAGCGGAAUUCCUAGUGUAGCGGUGAAAUGCGUAGAUAUUAGGAGGAACACCAGUGGCGAAGGCGGCUUACUGGACGGUAACUGACGUUGAGGCUCGAAAGCGUGGGGAGCAAACAAGAUUAGAUACCCUGGUAGUCCCCGCCGUAAACGAUC
rnacentral:rRNA from 1 species